CCUACGGGCGGCUGCAGUGAGGAAUCUUGGUCAAUGGGCGCAAGCCUGAACCAGCCAAGUCGCGUGAGGGAUGAAGGUUCUAUGGAUCGUAAACCUCUUUUAUAAGGGAAUAAAGUGCGGGACGUGUCCCGUUUCGUAUGUACCUUAUGAAUAAGGAUCGGCUAACUCCGUGCCAGCAGCCGCGGUAAUACGGAGGAUCCGAGCGUUAUCCGGAUUUAUUGGGUUUAAGGGGUGCGUAGGCGGCCUUUUAAGUUAGCGGUGAAAGUCUGUGGCUCAACCAUAGAAUGGCCGUUGAAACUGGGAGGCUUGAGUGUGUUUGAGGCAGGCGGAAUGCGUGGUGUAGCGGUGAAAUGCUUAGAUAUCACGCAGAACCCCGAUUGCGAAGGCAGCAUACCGGUGCACAACUGACGCUCAGGCACGAAAGCGUGGGUAUCGAACAGGAUUAGAUACCCGUGUAGUC
rnacentral:rRNA from 1 species